UUAUAUGGCAGAAAUUGCCUUGGAGUUAAGAUCCAAUCAUGAUCUUAUUUGAUCUAUUUAAA
rnacentral:tRNA from 1 species